rnacentral:rRNA from 1 species
GAUGAACGCUGGCGGCGUGCCUAAUACAUGCAAGUCGAGCGAACAGACGAGGAGCUUGCUCCUCUGACGUUAGCGGCGGACGGGUGAGUAACACGUGGAUAACCUACCUAUAAGACUGGGAUAACUUCGGGAAACCGGAGCUAAUACCGGAUAAUAUAUUGAACCGCAUGGUUCAAUAGUGAAAGACGGUUUUGCUGUCACUUAUAGAUGGAUCCGCGCCGCAUUAGCUAGUUGGUAAGGUAACGGCUUACCAAGGCAACGAUGCGUAGCCGACCUGAGAGGGUGAUCGGCCACACUGGAACUGAGACACGGUCCAGACUCCUACGGGAGGCAGCAGUAGGGAAUCUUCCGCAAUGGGCGAAAGCUUGACGGAGCAACGCCGCGUGAGUGAUGAAGGUCUUCGGAUCGUAAAACUCUGUUAUUAGGGAAGAACAAAUGUGUAAGUAACUAUGCACGUCUUGACGGUACCUGAUCAGAAAGCCACGGCUAACUACGUG